UACGUAGGGUGCAAGCGUUAAUCGGAAUUACUGGGCGUAAAGCGUGCGCAGGCGGUUCGCUAAGACAGAUGUGAAAUCCCCGGGCUUAACCUGGGAACUGCAUUUGUGACUGGCGGGCUAGAGUAUGGCAGAGGGGGGUAGAAUUCCACGUGUAGCAGUGAAAUGCGUAGAGAUGUGGAGGAAUACCGAUGGCGAAGGCAGCCCCCUGGGCCAAUACUGACGCUCAUGCACGGAAGCGUGGGGAGCAAACAGG
rnacentral:rRNA from 1 species